UUGAACGCUGGCGGAAUGCUUUACACAUGCAAGUCGAGCGGCAGCGCGGGGGCAACCCUGGCGGCGAGCGGCGAACGGGUGAGUAAUGUAUCGGAACGUACCCUGUCGUGGGGGAUAACACAGCGAAAGCUGUGCUAAUACCGCAUACGACCUGAGGGUGAAAGCGGGGGAUCGCAAGACCUCGCGCGAUAGGAGCGGCCGAUAUCGGAUUAGCUUGUUGGUGAGGUAAAGGCUCACCAAGGCGACGAUCCGUAGCUGGUCUGAGAGGACGACCAGCCACACUGGAACUGAGACACGGUCCAGACUCCUACGGGAGGCAGCAGUGGGGAAUUUUGGACAAUGGGGGCAACCCUGAUCCAGCCAUUCCGCGUGCAGGAUGAAGGCCUUCGGGUUGUAAACUGCUUUUGUACGGAACGAAAAGACUCCUUCUAAUAAAGGGGGUCCAUGACGGUACCGUAAGAAUAAGCACCGGCUAACUACGU
rnacentral:rRNA from 1 species